rnacentral:rRNA from 1 species
GACGAACGCUGGCGGCGUGCUUAACACAUGCAAGUCGAACGGUGAAGCGCCUUCCUUUUUGGUGGGUGUGGAUGAGUGGCGAACGGGUGAGUAACACGUGAGUAACCUGCCCCCUUCUUCUGGAUAACCGCAUGAAAGUGUGGCUAAUACGGGAUAUUCUGGGUCUGUCGCAUGAUGGGUCUGGGACAGCUAUUGUUUCGGUGGGGGAUGGGCUCGCGGCCUAUCAGCUUGUUGGUGGGGUGAUGGCCUACCAAGGCGGUGACGGGUAGCCGGCCUGAGAGGGUGGACGGCCACACAGGGACUGAGACACGGCCCAGACUCCUACGGGAGGCAGAAGUGGGGAAUAUUGCACAAUGGGCGCAAGCCUGAUGCAGCGACGCCGCGUGAGGGAUGGAGGCCUUCGGGUUGUGAACCUCUUUCGCCAGUGAAGCAGGCCUGCCUGGUUUGUGGGUGGGUUGACGGUAGCUGGAGAAGAAGCGCCGGCUAACUACGUG